CCUACGGGUGGCAGCAGUGAGGAAUAUUGGUCAAUGGACGAGAGUCUGAACCAGCCAAGUAGCGUGAAGGAUGACUGCCCUAUGGGUUGUAAACUUCUUUUAUAUGGGAAUAAAACGUUCCACGUGUGGGAUUUUGUAUGUACCAUAUGAAUAAGGAUCGGCUAACUCCGUGCCAGCAGCCGCGGUAAUACGGAGGAUCCGAGCGUUAUCCGGAUUUAUUGGGUUUAAAGGGAGCGUAGGUGGAUUGUUAAGUCAGUUGUGAAAGUUUGCGGCUCAACCGUAAAAUUGCAGUUGAAACUGGCAGUCUUGAGUACAGUAGAGGUGGGCGGAAUUCAUGGUGUAGCGGUGAAAUGCUUAGAUAUCACGAAGAACUCCGAUUGCGAAGGCAGUUCACUGGACUGCAACUGACACUGAGGCUCGAAAGUGUGGGUAUCAAACAGGAUUAGAUACCCCAGUAGUC
rnacentral:rRNA from 1 species